rnacentral:rRNA from 1 species
ACCAACAGGGAUUGCCUCAGUAACGGCGAGUGAAGCGGCAACAGCUCAAAUUUGAAAUCUGGCUCUUUCAGGGUCCGAGUUGUAAUUUGUAGAAGAUGCUUCGGGUGUGGCUCCGGUCUAAGUUCCUUGGAACAGGACGUCAUAGAGGGUGAGAAUCCCGUAUGUGACUGGGUGCCUUCGCUCAUGUGAAGCUCUUUCGACGAGUCGAGUUGUUUGGGAAUGCAGCUCAAAAUGGGUGGUAAAUUUCAUCUAAAGCUAAAUAUUGGCCAGAGACCGAUAGCGCACAAGUAGAGUGAUCGAAAGAUGAAAAGCACUUUGGAAAGAGAGUUAAACAGUACGUGAAAUUGUUGAAAGGGAAGCGCUUGCAACCAGACUUGCACGCGGUUGAUCAUCCGGUGUUCUCACCGGUGCACUCUGCCGCGUUCAGGCCAGCAUCGGUUUUGGUGGUUGGAUAAAGGCCUAGGGAAUGUAGCUUCUUUCGGGGAGUGUUAUAGCCCUAGGUGCAAUGCAGCCUACUAGGACCGAGGACCGCGCUUCGGCUAGGAUGCUGGCGUAAUGGUUGUAAGCGACCCGUCUUGAAACACGGACCAAGGAGUCUAACAUCUAUGCGAGUGUUUGGGUGUCAAACCCAUACGCGUAAUGAAAGUGAACGGAGGUGAGAACCCUUAAGGGUGCAUCAUCGACCGAUCCUGAUGUCUUCGGAUGGAUUUGAGUAAGAGCAUAGCUGUUGGGACCCGAAAGAUGGUGAACUAUGCGUGAAUAGGGUGAAGCCAGAGGAAACUCUGGUGGAGGCUCGCAGCGGUUCUGACGUGCAAAUCGAUCGUCAAAUUUGCGCAUAGGGGCGAAAGACUAAUCGAACCAUCUAGUAGCUGGUUCCUGCCGAA